CACAGCUGUUUGCCCUGGGAGGAAGAGGACGCGACAGGGCAAAGGGAGGCGUGCGGGCUGUUUACCUGCUCUUUUCCUUGGGCCUCUGGGGUACAGAAUAGGGUGUUUGUAAGUCUACUGCCUGCUCCUUAGACCGUACUGGUUUAGAGCUUGCGUUUUCCUGCUCGUGGGGUGGAGUGCAUUCCUGACGUCCCAGGGCUUUUAACUCUUUGAGGAAGGUGGGAUGAGGGACUUUGGGGAGGGGCGUGACGUACGUGCUGUAAAAUAGAGCAGAACUUGCCGUAGGGGGAGGAUGGCCAGGUCUUCCCAGUGUGAGCUGAGCUGAUCUCCGAGGUACCGUCCUGGACCUGCCUCUGCCGCUGUCCUCUGUCUGUGGCCCCUUCCAGUACUCUGGUGGCUGAGACAUGGUCAAGCAGAUGCCCCUGCAGGAAGGAGCCCGAAUCAGGAGGUCCGGAUGCUUUUCUUUCUUCAUCAUUGAGGCUGAAAGAUGAAGAAUGUGAGACACAAGAAAUAUUGACUUCCCUGAAUCCAUAUCUGGUACCAGGUGCAGAUAAUUCAGGGAUGGAUGAGACAAGAUCCUCUCAAAGGUUCAGUCAAGUGGCAGAGACAGACAACGUAAACACAGGAUCUUGGCACAACAACAGCUCUCAAGUGCUGCAGCAGAAUGGAUGAAUGAAACAGUAAGGCCUUAGGAAUCAGAAGAUUCUUCAUGGUUGGUGUACAAGCAAAAAGAAGAAAAUCAUGUCAAGUUCUUUAUCUGAGUCAAAUAUUCUUUUUACAGUUAUUGCUAAUAUAGAUGAAAGAACAAGAAGAAAUUUUAAAUUAGUUUAG
rnacentral:lncRNA from 1 species